ACGAACGCUGGCGGCGUGCUUAACACAUGCAAGUCGAACGAUGAACCGCUUUCGGGCGGGUGGCGAACGGGUGAGUAACACGUGGGCAAUCUGCCCUGCACUCUGGGACAAGCCCUGGAACCGCUUCGGGCAUCCGAUGGCGGUGGAAAGCUCCGGCGGUGCAGGAUGGGCCCGCGGCCUCCGGCGGUGCAGGAUGAGCCCGCGGCCUAUCAGCUUGUUGGUGAGGUAGUGGCUCACCAAGGCGACGACGGGUAGCCGGCCUGAGAGGGCGACCGGCCACACUGGGACUGAGACACGGCCUCCUACGGGAGGCAGCAGUGGGGAAUAUUGCACAAUGGGCGCAAGCCUGAUGCAGCGACGGGGUUGUAAACCUCUUUCAGCAGGGAAGAAGCGCAAGUGACGGUACCUGCAGAAGAAGCGCCGGCUAACUACGUGCCAGCAGCCGCGGUAAUACGUAGGGCGCAAGCGUUGUCCGGAAUUGGGCGCAAGCGUUGUCCGGAAUUAUUGGGCGUAAAGAGCUCGUAGGCGGCUUGUCGCGUCACGUCGGUUGUGAAAGCCCGGGGCUUAACCCCGGGUCUGCAGUCGAUACGGGCAGGCUAGAGUUCGGUAGGGGAGAUCGGAAUUCCUGGUGUAGCGGUGAAAUGCGCAGAUAUCAGGAGGAACACCGGUGGCGAAGGCGGAUCUCUGGGCCGAUACUGACGCUGAGGAGCGAAAGCGUGGGGAGCGAACAGGAUUAGAUACCCUGGUAGUCCACGCCGUAAACGGUGGGCACUAGGUGUGGGCAACAUUCCACGUUGUCCGUGCCGCAGCUAACGCAUUAAGUGCCCCGCCUGGGGAGUAUGACGGGGGCCCGCACAAGCGGCGGAGCAUGUGGCUUAAUUCGACGCAACGCGAAGAACC
rnacentral:rRNA from 1 species